GGUUAAGUGACUAAGCGUACACGGUGGAUGCCCUGGCAGUCAGAGGCGAUGAAGGACGUGCUAAUCUGCGAAAAGCGUCGGUAAGGUGAUAUGAACCGUUAUAACCGGCGAUGUCCGAAUGGGGAAACCCAGUGCAAUUCGUUGCACUAUCGUUAACUGAAUACAUAGGUUAACGAGGCGAACCGGGGGAACUGAAACAUCUAAGUACCCCGAGGAAAAGAAAUCAACCGAGAUUCCCCCAGUAGCGGCGAGCGAACGGGGAGCAGCCCAG
rnacentral:rRNA from 1 species